rnacentral:rRNA from 1 species
UACAGAGGGGGCAAGCGUUGUUCGGAAUUACUGGGCGUAAAGGGCUCGUAGGUGGCCAACUAAGUCAUGCGUGAAAUCCCUCGGCUUAACCGGGGAACUGCGUCUGAUACUGGAUGGCUUGAGUUUGGGAGAGGGAUGCGGAAUUCCAGGUGUAGCGGUGAAAUGCGUAGAUAUCUGGAGGAACACCGGCGGCGAAGGCGGCAUCCUGGACCAAUACUGACACUGAGGAGCGAAAGCCAGGGGAGCAAACGGG